AUUGAACGCUGGCGGCAGGCCUAACACAUGCAAGUCGAGCGGAGCGCGGGACGGGUGAGUAAUGCCUAGGUAUCUGCCUGGUAGUGGGGGAUAACGUCCGGAAACGGGCGCUAAUACCGCAUACUAUCAGACGAGCAUAGGCCGGAUUGGCUAGUUGGUGGGGUAAAGGCCUACCAAGGCGACGAUCCGUAACUGGUCUGGGAGGAUGAUCAGUCACACUGGAACGGAGACACGGUCCAGACUCCUACGGGAGGCAGCAGUGGGGAAUAUUGGGCAAGGGGGGCAAGCCUGAUGCAGCCAUGCCGCGUGUGUGAAGAAGGUCUUCGGAUUGUAAAGCACUUUAAGUUGGGAGGCGUUACCAACAGAAUAAGCACCGGCUAACUUCGUGCCAGCAGCCGCGGUAAUAC
rnacentral:rRNA from 1 species